UGCAGUCGAACGAUGAACCUCACUUGUGGGGGGAUUAGUGGCGAACGGGUGAGUAACACGUGAGUAACCUGCCCUUGACUCUGGGAUAAGCCUGGGAAACCGGGUCUAAUACUGGAUACGACCUUCUGGCGCAUGCCAUGUUGGUGGAAAGCUUUUGUGGUUUUGGAUGGACUCGCGGCCUAUCAGCUUGUUGGUGGGGUAAUGGCCUACCAAGGCGACGACGGGUAGCCGGCCUGAGAGGGUGACCGGCCACACUGGGACUGAGACACGGCCCAGACUCCUACGGGAGGCAGCAGUGGGGAAUAUUGCACAAUGGGCGCAAGCCUGAUGCAGCGACGCCGCGUGAGGGAUGAAGGCCUUCGGGUUGUAAACCUCUUUCAGUAGGGAAGAAGUUGGCCUUUUUUGGGGUUGGUGACGGUACCUGCAGAAGAAGCGCCGGCUAACUACGUGCCAGCAGCCGCGGUAAUACGUAGGGCGCAAGCGUUAUCCGGAAUUAUUGGGCGUAAAGAGCUCGUAGGCGGUUUGUCGCGUCUGCCGUGAAAGUCCGGGGCUUAACUCCGGAUCUGCGGUGGGUACGGGCAGACUAGAGUGCAGUAGGGGAGACUGGAAUUCCUGGUGUAGCGGUGAAAUGCGCAGAUAUCAGGAGGAACACCGAUGGCGAAGGCAGGUCUCUGGGCUGUAACUGACGCUGAGGAGCGAAAGCAUGGGGAGCGAACAGGAUUAGAUACCCUGGUAGUCCAUGCCGUAAACGUUGGGCACUAGGUGUGGGGGACAUUCCACGUUUUCCGCGCCGUAGCUAACGCAUUAAGUG
rnacentral:rRNA from 1 species